rnacentral:rRNA from 1 species
AUUGAACGCUGGCGGCAUGCUUUACACAUGCAAGUCGAACGGUAACAGGGUGCUUGCACCGCUGACGAGUGGCGAACGGGUGAGUAAUGCGUCGGAACGUGCCGAGUAGUGGGGGAUAACGCAGCGAAAGUUGUGCUAAUACCGCAUACGUACUGAGGUAGAAAGUGGGGGACCUUCGGGCCUCACGCUAUUCGAGCGGCCGACGUCUGAUUAGCUAGUAGGUGAGGUAAAGGCCCACCUAGGCGACGAUCAGUAGCGGGUCUGAGAGGAUGAGCCGCCACCCUGGGACUGAGACACGGCCCAGACUCCUACGGGAGGCAGCAGUGGGGAAUUUUGGACAAUGGGCGAAAGCCUGAUCCAGCCAUGCCGCGUGUCUGAAGAAGGCCUUCGGGUUGUAAAGGACUUUUGUCGGGGAGGAAAUCCCCAGCGUUAAUACCGCUGGGGGAUGACAGUACCUGAAGAAUAAGCACCGGCUAACUACGUGCCAGCAGCCGCAGUAAUAC